UACCCCGAGGAAAAGAAAUCAACCGAGAUUCCCCCAGUAGCGGCGAGCGAACGGGGAGCAGCCCAGAGUCUGAAUCAGCUUGUGUGUUAGUGGAACGGUCUGGAAAGUCCGACGGUACAGGGUGAUAGUCCCGUACACCAAAAUGCACAGGCUGUGAACUCGAAGAGUAGGGCGGGACACGUGGUAUCCUGUCUGAAUAUGGGGGGACCAUCCUCCAAGGCUAAAUACUCCUGACUGACCGAUAGUGAACCAGUACCGUGAGGGAAAGGCGAAAAGAACCCCGGCGAGGGGAGUGAAAAAGAACCUGAAACCGUGUACGUACAAGCAGUGGGAGCACCUUCGGGUGUGACUGCGUACCUUUUGUAUAAUGGGUCAGCGACUUAUAUUCUGUAGCAAGGUUAACCGUAUAGGGGAGCCGCAGGGAAACCGAGUCUUAACUGGGCGUUAAGUUGCAGGGUAUAGACCCGAAACCCGGUGAUCUAGCCAUGGGCAGGUUGAAGGUUGGGUAACACUAACUGGAGGACCGAACCGACUAAUGUUGAAAAAUUAGCGGAUGACUUGUGGCUGGGGGUGAAAGGCCAAUCAAACCGGGAGAUAGCUGGUUCUCCCCGAAAGCU
rnacentral:rRNA from 1 species